UGACCCCGUAGCUCAGUGGUAGAGCAUCUGACUUUUAAUCAGAGGGCCGCAGGUUCGAUCCCUGCCGGGGUCACCCA
rnacentral:tRNA from 1 species